rnacentral:rRNA from 1 species
UACGUAGGGUGCAAGCGUUGUCCGGAAUUAUUGGGCGUAAAGAGCUCGUAGGCGGUCUGUCGCGUCGGCUGUGAAAACCCGAGGCUCAACCUCGGGCCUGCAGUCGAUACGGGCAAACUAGAGUACUGCAGGGGAGACUGGAAUUCCUGGUGUAGCGGUGAAAUGCGCAGAUAUCAGGAGGAACACCGGUGGCGAAGGCGGGUCUCUGGGCCGGAUACUGACGCUGGAGGAGCGAAAAGCGUGGGGAGCGAAACAGG